rnacentral:rRNA from 1 species
AUCCUACGGGAGGCAGCAGUGGGGAAUAUUGCACAAUGGGCGCAAGCCUGAUGCAGCCAUGCCGCGUGUAUGAAGAAGGCCUUCGGGUUGUAAAGUACUUUCAGCAGUGAGGAAGGUGGGUAUGUUAAUAGCAUAUUCAUUUGACGUUAGCUGCAGAAGAAGCACCGGCUAACUCCGUGCCAGCAGCCGCGGUAAUACGGAGGGUGCGAGCGUUAAUCGGAAUUACUGGGCGUAAAGCGCAUGCAGGUGGUUUGUUAAGUCAGAUGUGAAAGCCCGGGGCUCAACCUCGGAAUUGCAUUUGAAACUGGCAAACUAGAGUACUGUAGAGGGGGUAGAAUUUCAGGUGUAGCGGUGAAAUGCGUAGAGAUCUGAAGGAAUACCGGUGGCGAAGGCGGCCCCCCUGGACAGAUACUGACACUCAGAUGCGAAAGCGUGGGGAGCAAACAGGAUUAGAUACCCUGGUAG